rfam:Bacillus licheniformis ATCC 14580, complete genome.
UUAAAAAAAUCCCCGCAGAAGUACCUCUGCGGGGUCCUUCUAUUCCUUAAAAAAUUAAGGAGAAGGCAAAGGGAGAGGAGAAACCGGAGGAAGAACUUAUGGGGAAACGUAAGUCUUCUCCGCGG